rnacentral:lncRNA from 1 species
AAACAAUUCUCAAAUAGUAGCUGCAUUACUCACAAUAGCCAACAGGUGCAAACAGCCCAAGCGUCCAUCAACAGACUAAUGGAUAAACAUAAUGUGGUAUAUCUAUACAAUGGACAAUUAUUCAGUCAUAAAAAGGAAUGGAAUACUGAUACAGUCUACAACAUGCGUGAACUCUGAAGACAUUAUCUUAAGCGAAAGAGGCCAGACACAAGGGGCUGCAUAUUGUAUGAUUCCAUUUACAUGAAAUGUCCAGAACACGCCAAUUCAGAGAGACACAAAGCAGAUUAGCGGUUGCCGGGGCCUGGGGAGACGGAAGAAUGGGCAGUGGCUGCUUAACAGGUAUAGGGUUUCCAUCUGGGAUGAUGAAAAAGUUAUGUAACUAGGUGGUGAUGUUGUUUUACGUUACGUGUAUUUUAGCACAAUCAAAAACAAAAAGCAGGUG